rnacentral:rRNA from 1 species
UACCAGCACCCCGAGUGGUCGGGACGAUUAUUGGGCCUAAAGCAUCCGUAGCCGGUCCUGCAAGUCUUCCGUUAAAUCCAGCUGCUCAACAGAUGGGCUGCGGGGGAUACUACAUGGCUAGGAGGCGGGAGAGGCAAGCGGUACUUUAUGGGUAGGGGUAAAAUCCGUUGAUCCAUAGAAGACCACCAGUGGCGAAGGCGGCUUGCCAGAACGCGCUCGACGGUGAGGGGAUGAAAGCUGGGGG